GAUGAACGCUGGCGGCGUGCUUAACACAUGCCAGUCGAACGGGAAACCUUUUAUUGAAGCUUCGGCAGAUUUAGCUGGUUUCUAGUGGCGGACGGGUGAGUAACGCGUGGGUAACCUGCCUUAUACAGGGGGAUAACAGUCAGAAAUGGCUGCUAAUACCGCAUAAGCGCACAGAGCUGCAUGGCUCAGUGUGAAAAACUCCGGUGGUAUAAGAUGGACCCGCGUUGGAUUAGCUGGUUGGUGGGGUAACGGCCCACCAAGGCGACGAUCCAUAGCCGGCCUGAGAGGGUGAGCGGCCACAUUGGGACUGAGACACGGCCCAGACUCCUACGGGAGGCAGCAGUGGGGAAUAUUGCACAAUGGGGGAAACCCUGAUGCAGCGACGCCGCGUGAAGGAAGAAGUAUCUCGGUAUGUAAACUUCUAUCAGCAGGGAAGAUAAUGACGGUACCUGACUAAGAAGCCCCGGCUAACUACGUG
rnacentral:rRNA from 1 species